ensembl:lncRNA
CUCCCGGCUGCUUUCGCUCGUUGUCCGGCGCUCCCGGCCGGAAUGCCGCGGUUUUCCCUUCAGCGCCGCGCACAGUUCCGCGCAGGGCCACCUUCCCUCCGCGGGUCCCAAGCAGGGCGGCGGCAGCUGGCAUUGCCCGGGCAGUGCCCAGGGGUGAAUGGGACCGACUGUGUGGGCACACCAACUUCAAGGGUUUUCAGAACUUCGGCGGAGGACACAGUCCUCCAGCUAGGAACUGCUGCAGACCUGACAGGUGUAUGGGAGGCUCGCAAGCAGCUGCUGUGGGUCAGCCUUCAUGGAAGAUUAUAGCUGGAAGCUGUGCAACCAGGGCUCGACCAGCAAUAGUGAAGAUCCGAGGUGCCAGACUCAUAUGGAGACAGCCCAGGGCUGGCUGGUGUCUUGGAGCACCCUGCACCCCAGCAGCAGUGUGGUGUCUCAGUUUCAGCAGAG